rnacentral:rRNA from 1 species
AUGAACGCUAGCGGCAGGCUUAAUACAUGCAAGUCGAACGGUAACAGGUCUUCGGACGCUGACGAGUGGCGCACGGGUGAGGAACACGUACACAAUCUACCUUAUACUGGAGAAUAGCCCCGGGAAACUGGGAUUAAUACUCCAUAGUCUUUAAUGAUCACAUGAGAAAUAAAGUAAAGCUUCGGCGGUAUAAGAUGAGUGUGCGUUCCAUUAGAUUGUUGGUGAGGUAACGGCUCACCAAGUCGACGAUGGGUAGCUGGCGUGAGAGCGCGACCAGCCACACUGGCACUGAGACGCGGGCCAGACUCCUACGGGAGGCAGCAGUAGGGAAUAUUGGUCAAUGGACGAAAGUCUGAACCAGCCAUGCCGCGUGGAGGAUGACUGCCCUCUGGGUUGUAAACUCCUUUUAUAUGGGAAGAAACCUCUGGAUUCACUCCAGAGCUGACGGUAUCAUAUGAAUAAGCACCGGCUAACUCCGUG